AUUUCCCACAAACACCGUCAUUCAGCUGGAAAAAUAUAUUCCUCUGAAAAUAUCCAAUUUUCCAGCCCACUUUAAAAAAAAAAGGGGGCGAGGUGUUCACUCUUUCUCACGGACAUAACUCACAAAUUCCGAAGAAAUUUAAAAUGUGCGAUGAGUGAAAUUAUAUUUUUGUCCAAAGACCGCAGGCCGUUGGAGGCAGCUUAGAAAUCUCUUACAUCUGGAAGAGCCAUAAUUCACGGGAUUUGGCCCAACAGCCGUGACAGGCAUUGGGGCGGCCAGCAGCAACUGUCUCCCGUGUUAGCGGCGAGUGUGUGAGAGGGAGACGGCGAGUGAGAGACAAAGAGUGACAAAUACACAGCGUGCGUCCACUUGGACCUGCAUGUGUGCGCAGUAACCGGGUAUGUUACGAAAGUACGGCACCGCGCGUUAAGCUACUUCCUGCAAGACCGGUAGUCCACGACACUUAUUACAUUAUUUCACAGCUGUUGUUACUUUGUGGAUCAACACAUAGCGUGUCGCAUUACUAUAUUUGAUGUGAUGUCAGUCAGCAUCAUCGACACACACGUAACAAUGCAUCAAUCAUUUUGAUCCAAUAACAAAAAUCUAACAAUAGUGUGUAACAACAUUAGACUUGAAAAGGGGACCAUUUGGCAUCGUUUGUAUUUUUUAUACCUUUGUUUUAUUUUUCCUUAUUCAACAUACUGCAUAUUUUACUUGAGCAAAAGUUCUAGACAUUUCUUCUACCAGAUGUCGUACAAACUCUCACUAAAUUGUGCAAUCCGUGAGAAGAAAAAAGAAAAGGUUUUUCUGAGACGUGUAAUAAAAAAAAAAAGAAAUCCACAAUGUUGUCCAUGUAUCCGGCAAUGUGCACAAACGAUUAUACACUUUCGCACACACGUAUGCACACACACACACUCAUCCGAAAGACAUGCGGCAGAAACAAAGCAGCGGCGCCCGUGUGUUUCAUGGCGUGCCAGAGGCUGCCUGCGUCGGCCCUAAAUAUUACACACAGACAGUAGCUAUCACUUCCAAGCCUGAAAUCCCACAUUCCACAUUCCUGAUUCCAGCGGCUCGCCUGCUAAGCUGGGCACCACAUGAAGAGCCAUUGUUAGAGAGAGACGGGUCAUGUGUCUCUCUCGCUCUGUGUCUGUCUGUCUGUCUGUCUGUCUGUCCCGGCCCUCCUCCUCCUCCUCCUCCUCUCGCUCGCUGUCAUAUAGUCUCCGUCUGUGACUCUCUGGCUGCGUCUGUCUAUCCGUUCCUCCCUCUGUCGUUUUAUCGCUCUUAUUCCUUCUGUCCCUCACUCCGCUUUGUUUAGUUCAUUCCGUGCCCUUCUCAGCCUCCCGUUUCCCACUUACUUUUCUUUCUGCUGCCCCCCCCCUCUUCUCUGUCUCUCCUUCCCUCUCUUUCAGUCUCCAGAUAUUCAUGUAGAGAUUUUCUCACAUGUUAGAUAUAGAUUUACGACCCCAGCCAGAUCCCUGUAGCCACUAAAUUUGAUACCAUGCACUAAGCCGCAUUGUCUUUUAUGUGUGCUUGGGCUCGUCUGUUUGUGUGCAACUGUGGGCUGCUAUGUAUGUGUGUGUCUGUGUGUUCAUGCAUUACAAGGUGGAGGCGGUUGACUUUUAAAGGGUUAGCUUGGCUGUGGUGGGCACAGAGGUAGAAUUUACAGUUUAUUGAAGCACGGAAGGCAGGUUUGCAGAUGCGUGUUCACGUGUUUGAGAGAGAGAGAGAGAGCCUGUGGGUGCCAGGUGACCAGGCUAACCUCUUGGCUGGUGUUUUGGAUUUAGGAUAGGACUUUGGAUAGCGGUGAGAAAUAAAAGGAAAAGGAAUGCUUUUUCAAUUACAGAUCAGAACAAAGGCAAGAGCGAAAGGAAAGAUGAGUUAUUGGCUUCUCACAUAUCGCGGUUUUUUUUCAGACAGGCGCAUUCUUACAAUCUGAUCUUGAUUUUGACUUUCAGAACAUUUUGUACUUGAGUCCAUCAUUCUGUUCGGCUGUUAUAAUUAUUCAUGUCGUCUGUCAUGAAGAUUUGUAUGAAGCAGAAGAAGUGUGAGAAGCAUGAAAAAUGCAUGCCGCAUGUUUUCGGUGCAACUUGUCUAACGACGUGAGCUCCUCGCGCAUUUUGACAUCACACUAUUGAGCUGUAUCUGCGAGCGCUAAAAUGCACACAGAAGUGGGUGCAAAAAUAGAACAUGGAAAGGAUGGAGUGUGAAGACAAAGCAGACAAACACCUGUGGAAGACCGUCGCCGCGCAUGUUACUAAUUCUGACAGUAGUCAGUUCAAAGGCACUCGUCCUCUGCCAUGCAUAUUUUAUUGGCUGGAGGUGGUUUUUGUUGUGUAUUCAUAUCGGUUUUUCGUUUCUUCAACAUUCCACAAGUUGUCAAGAGUGGGGGGGAGUUUUUUUUUGUUGAAAAACGCAUCGUGGAGUACUGAGGAUUGUAUUAUUGUUGUUUGUCUGUGUGAUGUGAGAUGCUAUUCGCCUUUUGAUAUUUCGUAAGUGAAAUGAGAGCUGAAGGUGUGUUUGUUGCAGAUGCUUGAGUGUGCAUGUACUGUUGUUACCUCAAACAGUUUAUCCGUCAGUCAGACAGUAUGUGCACAUUUCCUAGCGCUCGUGCAUGUGUUUGCAUGCAGGUAUUGCAUCCAAGUGUGCGCGUGUGUGUGUGUGUGUCCGCAUCCACACAUCUAAAAGCCAUAUCUGGCUUCAGAUCAAAUGGUGUAUGAAGAAGGGGAAUGACAGACAGAGAAAGUGAUGGCUCUUUAAUGUUGCCUAUCCACUCCCGAACCCAAAUAUAAGACCAACACACGGAAUAGACGUGUUUUAAGCAAAAAGGAGUGACAUGAAACACUUAUGUAGAAAAGCUCUGAACAUGACGUCGGCUUUGAGGUGGAGGAGAAAAUGUCUUGCCAAACACAAAGAAAAAGGGUAAAUUGGAUGGAAGGAAGAGAGAAAAGGCAGGGGCACAAAAUGAAACAGUGACAUGCACUUUAUUCUUUGUUUGUGCGCGUCAAGGUACAGCGAUACUUUGUUUUUAGCUGAAUGGCGAAUGUUUUAUCCAGCUCACCUUUUUUUCUUUCUUUCUAAAGCGUCUAAACCUUCACUAUCAUCAC
ensembl:lncRNA